ACACACACACACACACACACACUUCUGCAGUCUCACUCUGUCUGGUUUCAUUCUGUAGCACAGAGACGAGGACAGACCGAGAUCGGUGAUGGACAAACAGGACAGAGGACACAGCAGAAGAAGCAGAAUGAUUUGGAUGUUCUGUACACAGCUAUAAAUCCACAAACUAAACGCAAGAAAGCAGAAGAAAAGGAUGAUGUGACGUACUCGACUGUAGUCCACAGCAACCCUGUGAGAGCAGCACACACUCAAGAGGCAUCAGGAGAUACAACAGUAUAUGCCAGCAUCAAAACUAAGUAA